rnacentral:rRNA from 1 species
UACGUAGGGUGCAAGCGUUGUCCGGAAUUAUUGGGCGUAAAGAGCUCGUAGGCGGUUUGUCGCGUCUGCUGUGAAAACCCGGAGCUCAACCCCGGGCCUGCAGUCGAUACGGGCAGACUAGAGUGCGGUAGGGGAGACUGGAAUUCCUGGUGUAGCGGUGAAAUGCGCAGAUAUCAGGAGGAACACCGGUGGCGAAGGCGGGUCUCUGGGCCGUAACUGACGCUGAGGAGCGAAAGCGUGGGGAGCGAACAGG